GUAAGGUUUUUCUUCUAAUGAAAAAAAAAAAAGGGAAACCAAUGAACGAGAUAGCAAUCUCUUUUGAUCUACACAAAAAACCAUCUAAAAGCAGCGACUUCCUUACGAAACAAUAGCAAGUGAAUGGAGAUACGGAGGUAAAAUAAGCUAGAUAUUUCCUGGAACCAAAUGAUUUUUCAUAAUGAGACGGAGGAAAGUUAGCAUACACGUAAAGUGCAAGAGAGAGACUGAAAAAUAAGGAUGAAAAGGAAAGAGCACGCCAAAUGAAUCCAUGGACUCGGCUGAGCAUUUACAAAUCCAGAAGCAGAAGCAAGGCUUUUUCUCCCAGAUGGGUCAGCAGGAGGAGCUGCUGCUUCCCCGUGGUCUGAAACGCUUUAGGAAACUGGAGCUUGUGUGGCUUGGACCAUUUGCUUUCACACAGAUGAAGAAGUCAUGCAAAGGACACCUCAAGAUGGAACACCGUGAGCCUACAGGGCCUGAGAGCAGUGUUUUGAUCCACAGCUACAGCAGUGACUCCGAACCAUUUGGUCACAGGUCUGGAGGUGCUGGUGUAUCAGAAUGGACCCGAUCACAUACUGUGACUGAGAUGUCGGCGCUGAGCCGAUUUAAGCUUGUUUGAAGGAUGAAAGUCACUGCUGGCUGUGCUGGGGCUGAGAAAUUACACCUGGCGAUAAUAUUAUGAUCUUUUUUUUCUUCUUUAAGAGCUCUUUGCACUCUUCCUCCAUGCUGUGCUCACGUCAGGAGCAGGGAGGAGGCAACAGAGGAAUUGCUCUGGAGUGCUAUUUUAGCCCAUUCCCACUUGCUGUCUGUUCCUCAGCAAGCAGGGUGACAUUUUUCUCCUUAACGUGACAGCUCACAUUCAGAUCAUCCCAUUUUGGUGAUGCAUGUGCUCAGGAUCUGUUUAAUCAGGGAUUUAACAGGAGGGAGUAGGGGGAGGCAGAGCAUGGCUGCGCUGAGGGGCUGAGAAGCAUUGAAUGUGCUCACUCAGCCGCAGGGGCUGAGCACCACAGCCACUUUGCUCAGGAAAGCAAUAAGAAAAAGGAGAUGGGACACUGCCAUUUGGAACAGCCCUGAGACAGCGCCGGAGAGGAAUCCCCUCAUGGCGCUGAGUAGGUCUCCUAGUCAGAGCAGGGCUCGGUGGAGCUCUGAGGGCAGUACCAGGGCCGG
ensembl:lncRNA